UACGGAGGGUGCGAGCGUUGUCCGGAAUCACUGGGCGUAAAGGGCGCGUAGGCGGCCGUGUAAGUCACUUGUGAAAUCCCGGAGCUCAACUCCGGAACUGCCUUUGAUACUGGCAAUCUUGAGGCUGGAAGAGGUUAGUGGAAUUCCCAGUGUAGAGGUGAAAUUCGUAGAUAUUGGGAAGAACACCAGUGGCGAAGGCGGCUAACUGGUCCAGAUCUGACGCUGAGGUGCGAAAGCGUGGGGAGCAAACAGG
rnacentral:rRNA from 1 species